rnacentral:rRNA from 1 species
UUGAUCCUGGCUCAGGAUGAACGCUACCGGCAGGCUUAACACAUGCAAGUCGAGGGGCAGCGGGGAGGAAGCUUGCUUUCUCCGCCGGCGACCGGCGCACGGGUGAGUAACACGUAUGCAACCUGCCCCUGUCAGGGGGACAACCCGCCGAAAGGCGGGCUAAACCCGCGUACAUGCCACCGGGGCAUCCCGGAGGCAGGAAAGGCUUCGGCCGGACAGGGAUGGGCAUGCGGCGCAUUAGGCAGUAGGCGGGGUAACGGCCCACCUAACCGACGAUGCGUAGGGGUUCUGAGAGGAAGGUCCCCCACACUGGUACUGAGACACGGACCAGACUCCUACGGGAGGCAGCAGUGAGGAAUAUUGGUCAAUGGUCGGGAGACUGAACCAGCCAAGCCGCGUGAGGGAGGAAGGUACAGAGUAUCGUAAACCUCUUUUGUCAGGGAACAAAGGCGGGGACGUGUCCCCGGAUGAGUGUACCUGAAGAAAAAGCAUCGGCUAACUCCGUGCCAGCAGCCGCGGUAAUACGGAGGAUGCGAGCGUUAUCCGGAUUUAUUGGGUUUAAAGGGUGCGCAGGCGGUCUGUUAAGUCAGCGGUCAAAGCCCGGGGCUCAACCCCGGCCCGCCGUUGAAACUGGCAGUCUCGAGUUGGAGAGAAGUAUGCGGAAUGCGCGGUGUAGCGGUGAAAUGCAUAGAUAUCGCGCAGAACUCCGAUUGCGAAGGCAGCAUGCCGGCUCCACACUGACGCUGAGGCACGAAAGCGUGGGUAUCGAACAGGAUUAGAUACCCUGGUAGUCCACGCAGUAAACGAUGAAUGCUGGCUGUCCGGGGGGAUUGACCCCUGGGUGGCGAAGCGAAAGCGAUAAGCAUUCCACCUGGGGAGUACGCCGGCAACGGUGAAACUCAAAGGAAUUGACGGGGGCCCGCACAAGCGGAGGAACAUGUGGUUUAAUUCGAUGAUACGCGAGGAACCUUACCCGGGCUCAAACGGGGAGUGACUCAGGCAGAGACGCCUGUUUCCCACGGGACACUCCCCGAGGUGCUGCAUGGUUGUCGUCAGCUCGUGCCGUGAGGUGUCGGCUUAAGUGCCAUAACGAGCGCAACCCCCGCGUGCAGUUGCUAACAGUCAACGCUGAGGACUCUGCACGGACUGCCGGCGCAAGCCGCGAGGAAGGCGGGGAUGACGUCAAAUCAGCACGGCCCUUACGUCCGGGGCGACACACGUGUUACAAUGGGUGGUACAGCGGGAAGCCAGGCGGCGACGCCGAGCGGAACCCGAAAUCCACUCUCAGUUCGGAUCGGAGUCUGCAACCCGACUCCGUGAAGCUGGAUUCGCUAGUAAUCGCGCAUCAGCCAUGGCGCGGUGAAUACGUUCCCUGGCCUUGCACACACCGCCCGUCAAG